UACACUGGUUCUCAAAUUUGAUAGAGUGAACGUUAUUGGUGGCGAGAAAGAAGACAGAAUGAUGAUAGCUGGUAUGUUUACUGUGGCGGACAUUUCAUGUGUUCGUUGUGGAUCAGUUCUGGGAUGGACACAUGAAACUGCCUAUGAAGAGAGUCAAAAAUUCAGAGAAGGAAAAUGGGUGCUUGAUCUGUGAGUCCACUUAUUAAGUGUUUUUUCAAUUGUUGAGUUAGCCAGUAAUUAAUUAGGAACGUGUUAUAUAACUCGUCUCUGAGGUGCUCCUCUUUAAAUGAGCAGGCAUAUGAUAUCUAGUCCUGAUGAAGCCGAUGUUGGAGGAAGUGAUACUGAUAAUAUGCACUCUUAAUGUUUAUGUUCUUGUUAUCUUUUAGAUAACCCUUUGAUAAGUGUGACCAAUAUUUGUCAAUCCGGAAGGGCUAUAUGCCGUCAGUCCGCAGUUAGAA